UACGGAGGGUGCAAGCGUUAAUCGGAAUUACUGGGCGUAAAGGGUGCGUAGGUUGUUUUUUAAGUUAUCUGUAAAAUCCCUGGGCUCAACCUGGGCAGGUCAGAUAAGACUGAGAGACUCGAGUAUAGGAGAGGGUAGUGGAAUUUCCGGUGUAGCGGUGAAAUGCGUAGAGAUCGGAAGGAACACCAGUGGCGAAGGCGGCUACCUGGCCUAAUACUGACACUAAGGCACGAAAGCGUGGGGAGCAAACAGG
rnacentral:rRNA from 1 species